ACUGUCUCUGGAAAAUUUAUUAUUAAAAUUAACUUUUAAGUUAAAAGGCUUAAAUUUUACUUAAAGACGAGAAGACCCUAUAGAGUUUUAUACCUAUAAUUAUAAUGAGUACUUGGUUAUUUUAUUUUCUUGUAUGAUUAGGUAUUUGGUUGGGGUGACUUAAAGAUUAAAUAAACUCUUUAAAUUUAUAAUCAUUGAUUUGUGAAUUUAUAAUCUAAUUUUUUAAAGUUAAAAUAAAUUACCUUAGGGAUAACAGCGUAAUUUCUUUUUAGAGUUCUUAUUGAAAGAGAAGU
rnacentral:rRNA from 1 species